AGAGAAACAUCCUGGAACAAGAGCUCGAUGAUGGAGGGAUACACUUCGUUGUUUGAAGGAAAAUGAGCUCGAUGAUGUGCAACAAAUUAUUCAGAUAAGUUAUACCUUUAUAGCGGAAGAAGAUACCAAAGCAAUUUUUCUGCUUUGUGGCUUGUUUCCAGAUGACUUCAAUAUUCCAAUUGAGGAUCUGACGAGAUACGCAUGGGGGCUUAAGUUGUUAAAGAAAGUUCGUACAUUGAGGGACGCUAGAGAUAGGACAAAGGCAUGUGUACUCAAUCUCAAAAAUGCAAAUUUAUUGCUCGAUAGUGAUUACUCUGAGUGUGUCAAAAUGCAUGAUCUUGUGCUUGCUUCUGUGGUAUCUGAAGUUUCUAAAGGUGAUCAUCCAUGGAUCAUUAACCACGAUGAUGUUUCAAACGAGAGUACAACUGAAUUGAGCAAGUCUUGCGGAAGAAUUUCUUUGACGUGUAUGGGCAUGUCUGAGUUACCUAGAGACUUUAAUUGCCCAAACGUGUCCCUAUUAAGACUUAUGAAUGGCGAUAAAUCGUUUAAGUUUCCUGAAGAUUUUUAUGCGAAAAUGGAAAAUCUUCAAGUUAUGGCAUGUGAGAACUUGCACUAUCCGAUGCUUCCUGUAUCGCUUCAAUGCUCCACCAAGCUUCGAACACUGUGUCUCCAUCAAUGCUCAUUGGUGUCUGAUUGUUCUCCUAUUGGUGAUCAUCUUUUGAACUUGGAAGUGCUCAGCUUUGCUCAUUCUGGCAUCAGAUGUUUACCAUCUGCAAUCGGGAAGCUAGUGAAGCUAAAGCUACUCGAUUUGACAGGUUGUAUUAAUCUUGAAAUCGCUGAUGGUGUCUUGAAAAACCUGGUGAAGCUUGAAGAGCUUUAUAUGACGGUUAAAGAAAAAAAGGGCAUCCAAUUUACGGAUAUAAACUACAAGGAAUUGGAAGAACGUUCCAAGAAUCUUUCUGCAUUAGAAGUUGAAUUCUUUGAGAACAAUUUUCAGUCAAAGAAUAUGACGUAUAAUAAACUCGAAAGUUUCAAGAUAUCUAUGGGACGGUUUUUAGUAGCAAAAAGUGGCAGAGACACACACUCAUCUGAAAACACGCUGACGUUGGCCUGUAACAAAUAUGAACUGUUGGAAUCCGGAAUGGAUGAGUUGUUUUCAAAAACAGAAGUGCUUCACUUAGAAGUGGGUGGCAUAAAUAACCUUGAAGAAGUUUUAUCGAAAUCCAUACCUCGACACUCAUUUUAUAAUUUACGAGAGCUUCAUGUUUCCGGUUGUGACGACUUGAGAUACCUUUUUACAAUCCCAAUAGCAAACGGUCUGGUGAAGGUUGAACGUCUCACAGUUAAGGAAUGCCCUGUGAUGGAAUUACUAGUAUACAGUGAAAUUGGUGAAGAAGGGGACAUUAUUAGGCUUCAGGAGCUAAAGCAUCUAUCUUUGUAUGAUCUACCAAUGUUGGUAGGUUUCUCCAACACCGAAGAUGUAAUCGAUCUACCGCAACUAGUGGAGUUGGAACUUAGAUCCCUUCCCAGUUUGACUAGCAUUUUUUCAGAGUAUAAAUCAACAUCUGUUACUAUGUCCCGUAGUAGUUCUGCAAUUAAAACUUUAUUCAACAAAGAGGUUAUGUUCCCUAGGUUGGAGAUGUUGUUUAUUGAUAGGAUGGAUGCAUUGGUGAAUAUAUGGCCUAAUAGCAGUGCGAAAGUUGAUUCUUGCUCAUUGCGAAAGUUUGCAGUGAAUCGCUGUGAUAAUCUUGUGAAUAUUUUUCCAAGCAAUUCCAUGUCAUUGCUGCAUCAUCUUGAAAAGAUCUCUGUUGUAUUCUGCAUAUCCGUUAAAAUUUUAUUCGACAUUGAUGUUCAAUAUUGUGAUAACCAUGAAGACGUUUCACCGAAAUUCGUACCUCCGCACUUGUUAUAUAACUUAAGAGACCUUUUGGUUUCUGGGUGUGACAACUUGAGAUACCUCUUUACAGUCCCAGUAGCAAACGGUCUGGUGAAGCUUGAGCAUCUCAGAAUUAUGGAUUGCAGGGUUAUGAAAUCACUUGUAUACAGUGAAAAUGGUAACGGAGACAUUAGGUUUCAGGAGCUAAAGGAGCUCUCUCUGUAUGAUCUACCAAAUCUGGCAGGUUUCUCCAACAACAACGAUGUUAUCGAUCUACCGCAAGGAGUGAAGUUGGAAUUUUAUGGCCUUCCAAAGUUCACAAUUGCUCAACUUAAAGAUAUUGCUAAUCGAGCAAUGUGACCUUUUGGAGCAUGUAUUCACCAGCUCCACACUUGAGAGCCUCAAACGACUGGAAAAGUUGACUGUAGAACACUUCAAGGCAAUGCAAGAAAUUGUGAAGGAAGAUGACUUGAAGGAAGAUGGAGAGCACACAACAUCUAAAGUUGUUGUCUUUCCCUAUCUAAAGUCCCUCAAAUUGACUGAUUUACCAAAUUUCAAAGGUUUCUUCUGUGGGAUGAACGAGUUUUGAUGGCCGCAGUUGGAUGACUCUAGGAUCUCUGGCUGUCCACAAAUGAAGGUUUUCACAUCUGGUCAAUCAAUGUUUCCAAAGCUCAACUACAUGUAUAUAGGAGAAAAAAAGCGUAGUCUUGAAGGUGGCCUCAACUUUGAGUUGAUCAAUGCAUCAAAUGAGCUUUGCGCCAGUCGAAGGAGAAGUGAUUCCCCUCGGGCCAAUAUUCAAAUAAAAAUUCCCGUGGGUUUGAUGAUUCGGCCCUGUCACCAGCUUAUAUAGCUGCUACCUCAACACGAUAUAAUUUCUUUGAAAAUUUUUAGAGGUACGACUCUUUUAGCGCCAUUAAUCAUGGUUUUUUUAAACAUGAAACUUUCUCGAAGAUUCGAUUCUAUGAGCAGCAGCACACCGGACAAUAGCUUUUCAAGGUUUGACUCAAUGAGAAGUACGAGAUAAGACCGUAAUUUUUCAAGGUUGCUAUGUCGUAUUGACAAAGUUUCUGAGCAGAAUUACGUACAUAUUGUAUACAAAUAACAUGUGUAAUGUUUAUUAAACCAUCUCCGCUUGGUCAGAUCAUCAUAUCCAUGGAUCAUUAACCACGGUGAUGUUUCAAAUUAGAGUAUAGCUGAAAUGAGCGAGUCUUGCAGAUGAAUUUCUUUGACAUGUAUGGGCAUGUCUGAGUUCUUGGGAGACUUUAAUUGUCCUACAUAUCAUAAAAUCAUACAUUUAAUUAUUGGUCUACCACAUAUCAUAUCAAACCGAACUUUAAACAAGCGUGGUAUGUUAACAAGAAAAGUCAAAUAUUCAAUUAAUAGGCCAGCAAUAUACACCAUACACCACUAGUUUUUGCUGGCCAAUUCAAUUCAAUUUAAUAGGCCGUAUAAACAAGGUAGCUUUGGUACAACACAACCAGUUUGGCCUUGGCCAGUUGAGUUCUUAAAUACUCCAUAGUGAACCCUCUAAUCAUACACAACUUUUCGACGAAUUACACACACUUACCUUGAUCGAAAAGUUUGGAGUCACUUAUCAUGAUAUCAUAAUGACGGUUAAUACCAAAAUCACCCAUAUCAUUUGCUGAUGCAUCAUGUCGGUCAGCUGGUGUUGUCUUGUUUGCACACACACUCAGCCAAACUUAACAAUAUAACAACGGGCAAUUCUCUCGAUGAUGGUGUGAAUGAUUUAUUUUGAAUCCCCCCCCCAAAAAAAAAAUAUCCAAAUGGGCUUCUUCCAAGUUCCAACCCGAGAAAACAUCAAAAGCAAUUAGAAGAUAAAUGAGGGUAUGGUAUACCCUUGAUCCAAAGACUAUUGUCUGGGUUGCAAACCAUGAUAAACCAGUGCUCGAUUACACUGGAUUUCUUACUGUUUCGAAGGAUGCUAAUGCUGACAUGCUAGACAAAAAGGAGGAUGUUUGCUUCUCGACAACCGUAGAAGGAGCUUGUCAAACUGCACGUAUGUUGCCGGAUUCUGGAAAUCUUGUGUUUAAAUUAAAUUUGAGAAUCUGGAAAGAGAGAGCUUUGAAACUCCAACUGCUUAAUUUCUUCCUGGUACAAAAAUCGGCACGUUUAAUGUUGAUAUCGUGGAGAAGUCCAACAGACCCGACACUUGGAAGGUUGGAGUUUCAUGCAGAUCUACAUACACUGAAAUUUACCUACGGUUGUCAAGAAGUAAACUUUCUUCUUGUUGUCUAGCAUCUCCGCAUUACCAUCUUUCGAAACAUUAAGAAAUCCAGUGGAAUCGAGCACUGGUUUAUCACGGUUUGCAACCCAGAAAAUAGUCUUCGGAUCAAGGGUAUACUAUAUCCCCACAUAUCUUCUAAUUGCUUUUGAUGUUUUCUCAGGUUGAAAGAAUCCCAUUUGAAAUUUUAGUUUUGUUAGGGGAUUAUAUAAUCAUCCAAACCAUCAUCGAGAGAAUUGCCGGCCCGUUGUUAUACUGUAAAGUUUGGCAGAUUGUGUGUGCGAAUAACACCACACCAGGAUGGUGCAUGAGUAAAUGAUAUGGGUGAUGUUUGUAUUUACAAUUGUUAAUGAUAUCAUGAUAAGUGACUCUAAA